rnacentral:rRNA from 2 species
CCUACGGGAGGCAGCAGUAGGGAAUCUUCCGCAAUGGACGAAAGUCUGACGGAGCAACGCCGCGUGAGUGAUGAAGGUUUUCGGAUCGUAAAACUCUGUUGUUAGGGAAGAACAAGUACCGUUCGAAUAGGGCGGCACCUUGACGGUACCUAACCAGAAAGCCACGGCUAACUACGUGCCAGCAGCCGCGGUAAU